AUCCAGCUGACGAGUUACAAAUAGGACGAAACGCGUGUCCUAGAU
rnacentral:hammerhead_ribozyme from 1 species